CCUACGGGUGGCAGCAGUGGGGAAUAUUGGACAAUGGGGGGAACCCUGAUCCAGCCAUGCCGCGUGUGUGAAGAAGGCCCUCGGGUUGUAAAGCACUUUCAGUGAGGAAGAACGCCUGGUGGUUAAUACCCAUCAGGAAAGACAUCACUCACAGAAGAAGCACCGGCUAACUCCGUGCCAGCAGCCGCGGUAAUACGGAGGGUGCGAGCGUUAAUCGGAAUUACUGGGCGUAAAGCGCGCGUAGGUGGCUUGAUAAGCCGGUUGUGAAAGCCCCGGGCUCAACCUGGGAACGGCAUCCGGACCUGUCAAGCUAGAGUGCAGGAGAGGAAGGUAGAAUUCCCGGUGUAGCGGUGAAAUGCGUAGAGAUCGGGAGGAAUACCAGUGGCGAAGGCGGCCUUCUGGACUGACACUGACACUGAGGUGCGAAAGCGUGGGUAGCAAACAGGAUUAGAUACCCCAGUAGUC
rnacentral:rRNA from 1 species